GCUAUCCAUUUUGCUUGUUACAGCUAUUUCAAUGAUGAAAUAACUGCUCACAUGAUGUCUUAGGACUGGCAGGACCAUAAGGAGAAGAAUAAUGAAGUUAUUUAAUUUUUAUUGCUGACAUUAAAAAGAAAGGAAAUAAAAAAACAAACUCAAGGAAGACUUGGCUAUGGUUAAAACACUUCUUGAUCUCCUGCUUGGUUGUGCUUGUAAACACUGGAUAAAUUAAUAGCAAAUAUGUUGCACAACUUAGAGGUAUGAGAGUCUGGGCAGUGUUGAUGCAGUACACCUUGUGCAGUGAGGAGACUCCUGAAAUGGUUCCUGCUGACCUCCCCCAGCAGAAAAACAAUAUUAGUCUUUGGUGGCCAGGGAAAAUAACAAAAGUUGAUGAAGGUGGUCUCCAGAUGAUACAGCCCUCACAGAAGCAAUCACUCUGUUCUCCAUUUCCACUGACUAGGAAGCAAAUCUACGACACUACCAGGUCUGGCAAGCGCAGAAUAUCCCUUCCGCCCAGGUCUGAAAGGGGCUCCCAGAGCUCGUCUGGGCACUGCUCCCCUACCCGAAUCCAGCCCCGCUGCAUGCAGCCCAUCCCAGGCAAGCGGUUGCAUACCCAGGCACUCAGGGGCUUCCAAUGGAGAGACUCUUCACCAAGCAAUAUAUCUCAGUGCUUCCCUAUCCUUACCAUACUUUUUCCCGGUAACUAAACUAAAGCUUCUGUACUGCAAUUUAAGCUCCUUGUUUCUCAUUUUGCCCACUGUAAUCAAGAUAAUAUAACUCCUUUCUUCCUUUUCAUGCAUUUUAAGAUUGUUGUCAUGCAGCCUCUCUGUUUUGUCUAGUUUGAACAGCUUUAGCUCAUUCCAUCCUUUUAAACAAGUGAUUUUUUCUGCCUGUGAUCAUUCUUCAUCCUCCUUUUUUUGUCUAUCAUUUAUCAGUCCACUUCCUCUACUCAAGUCCACAGAGUGAUGCUCACCAGAAUCCCAAUUAAAGUUCUUUGGCCUAGAAUUUGAACCACAUUUUGUAAAAAUAGGCUUUUGAGAUUUUUCAAUAAUCCCCAGUUCCUGCUGAGCAAAACCUACCAUGAGAAUGUUCUGGCUGCUUUAUUACUUCUACCGCCAGGUUGUAACCUGCAUGUAACCACGUUAUGCUAUGAGCAGUGCUAAUCUGGAAAAAAAAAAAAGGAGAAAAGAAAUGAAACAAUUUUACUUCUGCAUUUCUGUUGAACCCAAUGAGACUGAUUUUGGUUUAGAGAUCCUUGACUAUUUUUAUUAUAUACAAGUAGGUCACCCUAUCUUUUCUUGAUAGCGGAAGCAGCUAAAAUGGGACAUGCAGUUUUCAAUUUAUUGCUCUCCUCAUGUAUCAUUUAGCGAGCAAAAUCUCAAUCUUAACACUCUUGUGAAUGUCUUCUUAAAAUCAGCAUUCAGUCUCUGUCUAUUUAGCAGAGGCCGUCCCCAACCCAAGAGGCUAAAAUUAACUGAAGUUGAAAACACACAUAAUACUAACAUGAUUAAGAAGAAAGAAAAAUCAAAACAAGUGAAAAAUAAAUCCUUUUAGUGGCUGAAAUCUCUACUUCCAUUACCACAGCUGAGCAGUAUCUCUGUACUCUGAUUUGUUUACAGUAUCUCCAUUUCUGUUUCACAGAGAUGAUGAAAAAACACUAAUUCAUAUGAAACUAAUCUAUACACUUUUGUAUCCAGCUUUAAUAGCAGAGUCGUGGUUGGUUUAUUUAUUUUUAGUCUUGUAUUAUCAAAAUUGUUAUUUUCCACAAAAUCUACUAGGCAAAAUUUACCAGUAAACUGUGUGGUAUCCUUCAGGCCUAACUGAUUAAAUGUUAACUUAAAACAGAAAUGAAAGAUGAGUUAAUUUAUAUUUUAAUUUGAGGUUAACUGCUCAAGUCUGUGCUUCCAAACAGGGCCUGCCAUCACUGAUGGAACUGUAGAUCUAUGGAUUUACUGUAUUUUCUGAAGUUGUGAAAAGAAAGUGAAGCAAACUUGUCAUCUAACAAAACACAAGUGCAGAUUCCAGUUGCUCCAGGACUUAUUAAGAAGCAAUCAUUAAACUUUUAUGUAUGAGAGGAAAACAAAGAGUGCAACAGGUCGAGGUUCAGUAAACCCGGAACCACACGAGCUUCAAAAAACAACCAAAUCAAAAGCAACACACCAGUUAUGGAGAGGACUCAAAAAUAUCAACGAAAUACUGAAUACUAGGAAUUUCAAGUCUUAGAUGAGCCAUCACACAAGGGUUGCGUACAGUUGUGAACUGAAGAAGAGAAGCUACAUGGAAAGUUUCCUGACUGGUAUUGUGAACUUUAUGGUGAAUAAAUGAGGAGGUCCUUAUAUGGCACAACAGGACAAAUGAAGUGAUGUUAUGGAAACAAUGUAUUUACAUUGCAUAAUGAGCCAUGAUGCAAUAAGUUCCUUCAUACAAAGGGGCCUCUAGAGAAGUCUGCCCAGUACAGGAUGCUGAGGACCGUGGAAGGACUUCACAGUCAUGGCCAGAGAUGUCACAGUUUCCUACUAGCAAGAGGCUGUUUGCAAGAAGCAAAAUCUCAUGCAUAUUUUAUGUUCAACAUGAGGCUGACUCAACUAUGCUAGAGGUGAAGAGAUGUCUGAGCUGUUUCUCUGUGUGACAAAUUUGGAAAUGGAAAUGGAGCAUCUACACAGAUUUUUUUUACCCAAGAUUCUCUGAACAGCAGGGAGAGAUGUGAUAUGUGCAACAGUCGGUCCCAGCCAAUUAGUCUGUGACAGUCAUUUUACAGAAUGCCUCCUGACAUCUUAUGAAGCAACAGUGAUUUUGAGGGCUUCCUAAAGACUGCUCCAUGGCACCUUGCAAAAUAUGAGUGCAACUAUGUUUGGGGGAACACUCAAAGCAUGUGCUCAGCGAUGCUGUAAUGAAAAUGUAGCUUAAGCCAUGCUCGGGCCAGUCUUCAAACCACUUUAUAGAAGCGGAGAGGAAAGAACAAUUGACUUCUGAAGACUUCUGGAUACUCUAUGCAUUUCAAAAGUCAGAACCAGGAAGAUUCAUUCAGAAGCUGUGUUGCAAAUAUUAGAUGCUAUUAGAGAAAAUGUGGGUUUAUAAUGUUAGAAAAUAUGCAUGAGACUUUUUCAAAAGCAUUAGGUUUAAGAAUUUUAAGAAAACACCUAAUAGAUAUGAACUUCCUUGUGAAGUAAGCGCAUGUAUAAGUAGAUAGAUGAAAGGGGAUAGACAGAAUCUGUUCUUGAAACUUACUGAAAUUCAAUUAAUGUUUUCUUAAUUUACAUGGAAAGGUUUCAUUUCUAUCGCAACUCAAGUUCAUCAACAUUUUACUGCCUAUAAUUUAAAAGCCUUCACUGUACUAGUUUUACUAAGAGAGUGAUUCAGUAAUUUUUAAAAUAGAUUUUUUUUGUUUCUCAUAUCUAAAACUAUUUUGGGAUGCAUUCACAAAUGACAGACUUGAACAAGAACAUGGCCUAGAUAUCUGUAAACAUAUAUUGUGUAUUUAGCUACAUGUGCACAAAAAAUUACUUUGUUCCUUUCUCUCUCUCAUUUCUUUCCAACCCUUUUCCAGUCUUCUGUUUUUCAACUGGUUCCAUUUUCACCUCAUAUAUGCAUCUGAUUUUUCUCUCACGUACACACGAGUCUCCUAUGUGAAGCGUUAAUAUAACACGUGUGGGUCACAAUUUCACACUUGCAAUAUUCAAGUAAGUUCAAAGUUAUUCAGAAUAAGUUUGACCAUGCCUAUAUGUAUAUUAAAGAGAUAAAGCCUGGAUCAAAUGAAGGGGGAAAAAAUUUUUUUUUCAAAAAAAUCUUAUAGAAGAAUAUAUUUUUUCAUUUUCACUAUGGAUAAUAACAAAUAGAAAUACUCCAUCUAUAAGUUUAUUGUGACGUGGGGAAAAUUGAGCCCACAUUGAACAUCUGUAGAUUGUAUCUUUUGAAGCAAUGCUCCACCAUUAAGAUUUUACAAUGAGGGCUAAAGAAUGUUGGGUUUUGAAGCAGCAAUGUACACUCACGAAACCACGACUUCCUUUCAUCUGUUUGUCAAAGCUGUGAAUGCGUUUGCAUUGCUUCCUAGAUGAAUCACUGUUCCAUUGGGCUGUGUACAUGUUCUCAUGAAAUGAGAGUAAGCUACAGGGCCAUCUCUGACACUGACUUGAAGUAGUGAUUCUGUAUCGUUUAACCCACUUAGGGCUGCCAAGUGAACGAGUUUUGCAGUAACCCUGAUACUAAGAUUAGCAGAUUUCACACUUUCAUCCCAGUCUGCUUCAUAUCAGCUCUACUCAAAGUCACACUGUUUAAGGAGUGUUAUUAUUAGAUACUCAAAACAAUGCUACAUAAACAGAAAAGUGGAAGCAAGUCACAUAUCAAGUGCUGACCUUGCCAGUGAGCCAACCUUCUCUGACUGGCAAUCAGUGUAAAAGUAAAAUAUUAAAGAAGCUCCCAUCUGUACUUCAUGGAAGCUUCCACUCUACCACCCACAUGGUCACUGCCCCAUCUUACUCCUGAUAGCGGAGGCCAGCAUAGAUCCUGCCUGUUUCAGAAUUUUUUUUUGUAUUACAGAUCAGCUUCAAAAGCCUAGGAGAGGAGCUAAUCCUACACACAUGUGCCUCUGGUGAGAUGGCAACUGUCCCUGGCUAGGGAAUUAACACCCCUUUUAAAGUUAUCCUCUUUAUUCUGAGCUUCCAGAAAACAAAUCGAAUCCAGCAUUCAGCAACUGCAUGUUUCAAAUCACCAAAAGCCCUUUCAGAUCUUGGAGCUGCACACACUGUCUGUUAGAAUAACCUCAGGCACUCUGUUACAAUUGAAUCAUAACCAGUGACACCCUCUUUCUCAUCCCACUGCACUGAGUUACCUCCACUGUCUACACAGAGAGCUCCACAUGCUUUCAGGCAGGGAGCAAUGUCCUGGACAACAGCGGGAAUGUAUUAUUAAAUAUUUCUUUUAUCUUCAGUUACAAUAGCCACAAAUUUAGCCAGUCCCCAAAUAUUUUCCGUGAGAGUAUUGCAUCCACAGAGGUUCCAAACCCUGGAGACAAAAGAGGUGAUUGGGUGAUUAUGGCUCUUCAGUCACUUUUAUCUUGCCCAACCAAUUUUAUCCACCAAACCUUGAAGAAAAUACCCAGUUACGUGCCACAGCACAAGAUGAAAUGUAUCCAAUCAUCUGUGUUGCUGUAUUUCCUGCUAGGCCUCAUAUUCUUCCCAUGAGAUAUUAUAGGUUUCGCUGUUGAUCUUUCACUACAGUUUAAAGUUUAUUUAAGGGUGUUAGAAAUAUUUCAGCUCCCAAGAGGUUGCCUGUGACCAAAGAGACUGCAGUCAAUGACCUGAGUGAUCCUUUCUGGUUCUAGGUUCUUCUGUGCUCCCAGGAAUUAACUAUGCUAAUCGAGCACUGAACUCUGUGUACUAGAGUAGCUAUAUUACUUCACUAUUGCAACUUACAGUGUAGCCUGGCUGGAUUUCCUUUCUGUAUAAAGUGGAGGUUCUGUCACUGACUGUGGAGACUGCCAGUAAAGAACUAUUUGUACGAAUUGUUUAAUGGAUUCAGUAUUACUUUGUGCACUUGCUCUACAUCUUUGCAGAAGGUGUUGCUCUUCCAUCCCCUUAGAAUGUUCUGCAGAAAACGGAAGAGCAGCCUGAAUGCAGAGACGUGAGGAAAUCGCACGGAGCGCUGCACCCAAAUCCCUUCAGACAGGGACACAGCUCAGUGAGUUCAUAUCCAUCAGCAUAUGGAUAUUGUGCUUACAAAUUCUUAAAAACCUAUCCGGUUAGGGCUGGAGCAGCAGCUCCAAGCUGCCUUGUGGAUAACACAAGGGAAUUCAGGAGACUCAGUUCUAGUCCAGCAACUGCCACUUAACUGAUGAAUUCUCUUCGAUUAGGCACUUCCCUCCCCAUGCUACUAUUUCUGUUUGCAAAGCAGAGUUACAUAAGGAUAGGGUGUUGUGCAUAAAAAGCUGUACAUAAAAACAUACUCUACUUUUCACACACCACUAACCUGCGGAAAGGUUUAAAAAUGUGCUGCUCUGACAGUCAAGAUGAGUGUUUUAUUGGGCACAGCUGGUUCUACCUGCCACCCACUAAGUCAUGUUAUGUAACUGUGGCCAGACUUGAAAAGGUAUUACUUUUCUCCAGGCAGCUACAUAUAUGCAAACUGUCUUAGUAUGUGAAUACUUAGUGCGUGUGAAUAGAAAGAUAUAGUCUAAAUCACUUUGGUAGUUGUGUACAUCUUAUUAAGUUCUUAUCUGGACCUUCAAGGACCACAUGCAAUAAUAAAUAUGGCUUUUUGAAUACAGUUAUUUGAAUGCGCCUUUUGGUGGGUGGCAGAUAUAAACAACAUACAAUUGUGGCUGAAUCCGGACCAUAUUCGGGUUACUAUACAGUAAGAUCUUCUAGAUAAAUCAAGUUUUGCUGAAGAUGGUUGGCCCAACUCAUUGCUGUGCAAAUACUGCCCAAGUCACCUAUUUUGUUAGUCAAUUCCCAGAUUGAAAUUUUAAUCACAAUGUGUAAUAAACUAGGCCAGUCAUUUCACUAUAUUCAAAGUGGUAACAAAAGACCACCACCUGCUUUAGAUAAAAACCAGGGGGUAGCCAGUAAUCCAUACCUCCCUUUGUCCCAUCCUCAAGGCAGUAUUUAACACCAGAGUACGGCAACAUUCCAGCAUCUGUGAAAUGAGGUGACACAUCAGAUACUGCAGAGCAGACACCACUGGACUUGUGACUACCACAGCGAAAGGAUCCUUGGUGGCACAGCUGGGCUGCCAGGAUAUGUGAACAGGACUAAAGAUGUGACAAGUUUGAAGGUCUUUCUCUGCUUGUCCUGCCUUACAUUAAGUCAGCCCAGAUACUGGAAAGCAAAAGUUUGCAGUCUUACUGAUACAAACCAAGGUUAUACAAAUAAACAGUCAUCACAAACACGGCAGAAAGCCAACAUGCUGAAGCGAUGUUAUUGACCUAGCCAGCACGCUGCCUUCUCUCCAUCUGGAAAAAACCACGCAGGGCAAAUGAUAGCUAAAAAUCCCCUCCAUGAAAGAAGCACUGACAUUUUCUUAUCUAGAAAACAAGCCUGGGUCCUAGCUUGUUUCUAUCAAAGAAAACAGAUGACUGUCAUCUGGCUGCAAUGGCAGCAAGACAAGCUCAGUGAGAACUGCUGCAUCUGUACUGCUAUAAUUUACUAAGGCACCAGACUUGCAUUCUGCUUGGGAUCUUCCUUCAGUCUAACACAGAGUAAGCUGGAAUGCUGAGCUGUCUGUUGUCUCGGGACAGAGGCAAACUAAUUUCAAAAGAAAUUCCAAAAUUAGGCCAGUAGCAGAGACAACACUGUGGAUGAAGAGCAGGAUGCUCUGAACAGUAGAAUAAAUCUGUAGGAAUGCUCCCAGUUAGAGCUGGGUAGAAAGUGCCAGAGGAUCGCUCUGACAGAUUACUCUUUUUCCCUGAAAGUGAAAUUUCUCACAGAAGUGUACUUAUUUCUUCUGAAGGAACUGAGCCUGGCUCCAGGCUUAAGAAUGCCAUUUCAGGGGAUCUCAACCAGAGGUCUCACCCUGAGGAUCCCAGCUGUCCCAAAAGUUGAGCAAGGCAGGAGCUGGUGGGCAGGUGAGUCCCUGCCCUGAGAUCCUGAUGAGUCUGGGAGGUAUCAGUAGGGUGAAUGAGAGGAGGGCAAUGCAGUACCCACAGGAAUCAGCAGCUGCUGCAAAGGUUGGGGGACAAAGUUUAAUUAUGAAAUAUCAGGUUUAAAUAUGUCCCUUAUCUAAUAUUGUGGGAUUGUGGUCAAAAACAAAUUUUCUGAAUUUUUGUCUUUUCUCC